rnacentral:rRNA from 1 species
CCCUUAGAUGUCCUGGGCUGCACGCGCGCUACACUGAUGUGUCCAGUAAGCACCUAACCUCUUCCGAAAGGAACGGGUAACCUUUGCAAAGCACAUCGUGAUGGGGCUAGAUUAUUGCAAUUAUUAGUCUUGAACGAGGAAUUCCUAGUAAGCACAAGUCAUCAGCUUGUGUUGAUUACGUCCCUGCCCUUUGUACACACCGCCCGUCGCUCCUACCGAUUGAAUGUUCCGGUGAGCUCUUCGGACUGCGCGGUCUGCAGUUUCUGCGUUCCGUGCGGAAAGUUGCGCAAACCUUAACAUUUAGAGGAAGGAGAAGUCGUAACA